UGGUGUUCUUCUUAGCUUGUCUCUUCCUGUGUUGUAUGACAAGUACCAGGACCAAAUUGAUGACCGGCUAUGUGUGGUACAUGGGAUUAUUCAUAAACAGCAUCAAAAAAUUCGUAGUAUUGUUUUAAGCAAGAUUCCAAAACUCUCAAGCAAAGAAAAGAAGGUUCAGUAAGAACACGGGAGCAAAUGGAUAAGUGAAGUCUAGUUAGGAGUGUGCAAUGAAGUGCUUGUGGUUUUCUUUUUUGCUGGGAUGCUAUUGCUCCGUUGAUUGAUGGUUUGACGGUAUGUUAAUUCUUCAGAAUCAGGAUUGACCAAUAGCUUUGACGUAGGUGCUUAUUCUCUUCUGAUUUUCUAUCUAUCAUCCCUUGGAAGAUACUUUAUAUGAACUUUUAUCAAUGGGUAUAUUACCCUUGUUAAAUUUCACUUUGGACAAGUUUAUCAGAGAGCAGAAAAAAUAGAAAAGAAAAGACCUGACAUGGUUUUUGGCGACGAAAAAUAUUUUUGGUUGGGUUGGUUAUAUGAUGUACUGCUGAAAUGUUGAAUUACCACUACGUGUACUGUGAUAAUCUUUUCUACUUAAUUAGGAAUACAACACUGGAAAUAAUAUUGGUAACAAAAUGUCUUGGCACUGCAUCGUCGUUAUCCCUAGCCUCAGGUUGGCUUAUGCUUGCUGCUAAUGUGAUCGCUGAUUUAUAUUGUUUAUAUAGACUACAUUUGAGUCCA